rnacentral:rRNA from 1 species
CCCUGGCUCAGGAUGAACGCUGGCGGCGUGCUUAACACAUGCAAGUCGAACGAUGAAGCCCAGCUUGCUGGGUGGAUUAGUGGCGAACGGGUGAGUAACACGUGAGUAACCUGCCCUUAACUCUGGGAUAAGCCUGGGAAACURGGUCUAAUACCGGAUAGGAGCGUCCACCGCAUGGUGGGUGUUGGAAAGAUUUAUCGGUUUUGGAUGGACUCGCGGCCUAUCAGCUUGUUGGUGAGGUAAUGGCUCACCAAGGCGACGACGGGUAGCCGGCCUGAGAGGGUGACCGGCCACACUGGGACUGAGACACGGCCCAGACUCCUACGGGAGGCAGCAGUGGGGAAUAUUGCACAAUGGGCGCAAGCCUGAUGCAGCGACGCCGCGUGAGGGAUGACGGCCUUCGGGUUGUAAACCUCUUUCAGUAGGGAAGAAGCGAAAGUGACGGUACCUGCAGAAGAAGCACCGGCUAA